UUCAAUUUUAUUUUUCAUUUUUAUCGUACCACAUAAAGUUAGAGUCUAGAUCUAGUCAAACCUAACCUUAAAUAGCACGUAAAGGUACUUAAAUGUCCAUUCAUUAAAACAAAAAUAAAGGGGAAUAUGCAAUGGAUCUCAUCAAGCCCAAGUAUUUUUUUGCCUUUGAAUCUCAUAAUAAAGUACUAUUGAACAAAAUCCAGUAAAUUAAACCAGCAAGGUAUCCAUGUGCUAUUGGGUUAGAAAAAACUUUUAUUUUAAUUCAAAAAUAUAUUAAUGACAAAAAUGUUUUAUUAUUUGUAUGAUUAAUAUGUUAAUGACUGUCUUGCUUAUAAUCAAGUGGAAAUUAUAUGAAUUAACAAGAAUUAAUUGUUGACCGAUUGUUGGUCGAUUCUAGAAAUUUCAGGAUAAUACAACAAGAAAGAAAAAUGAUUGGUAUAUUUGAAUCAUUCCCCUUUAUAAAAUGUCAACAAUAUUCAUAGAAAGUGCAAUAUUUUUCAAUGAUCACUGUGUCAAUCUACAUAUUUCUUUGUUAUAUCAAUGUAAUAUUAAUGUUCUAAUUUCAGACUGGAACUAGAGAGCUUGGCUCUGACUGGUCUACUACAGCAAGGAAUGUGCCAGGGGCCAAUCUGAUGAACAUGUGGCAGAAGAUUUGGCAAUGGGUGAAGAAACACUGAGAUUGAAAUGCAACCACAGGUGGAGGCUUCACCCAAACUUUUCAGACGGAUGCGAGAUACAAAGUUACCCAAGUAUAAAUGGUCGAAGGUUUUGGAGAGCCAGACAAGAAGGCAGGAAAUGUGAUGUCACUUUGUAAUACUUCAAUAAACAUGAACAGCAGCAGGAGCAACAACAGCAUCAGCAGCCGAAACCUCAACUGCAAGAAGAGAUGCAGCAACCGCACCGACAACAUCAAGAGCAACAGCAAAAAUACCUACAUGUAUUACAGCAGAAAUGCAACAAUCACAUUGGCAACAUCAACAGUAGCAGGAGCUCCAACAACCAUGCAGGGAACAUCGCGCGCAACAUGAAUAACUUCAUGAAGAGAUGCAACAACCACAGUGGUAAACAUCAACAGCAGUAGCGACAACGACAGUAGAAACAAAGCCAAUGUCAAGGAUUAAGCAAUCAUACAGGAAACAACACAAGCGGCAACAUCAAUAAAUGCAUCAGGGGAUGCAACAGCCAUACUUGUAAACAGCAGCAGUAGCAGCGAUGACAAGAGCAACCACACAGGCAACACCUUGAGCAACAUCAGUAGCAAUGCACCAGCAAUGAAACAAUCACACCAACAACACCAAGAGCAGCAGCAAAAAGAAAAUAAAUUACAGCAACCAUGAUGACAACAGCAGC